AUUGUGAGAAAAAAAAGUCGCAAUUACCUCUUUUAUUUUUUAUUCAGUGGCGGAAACGGGUUUCCAUACAAUUGGCAUGGCUACAGUUCUCAGAAAUAAUAAUUUUGUCCAUUAUCUAUUAUCCAUUAUCCCGGAGAGAGAUCUUCAUGUGUUUUGCCCACAACAAAACUUGUGUUGUAUGUUGGUCUGGAGCAGGUGGAACCUUCAUAAAGAUGAUUAAGAGCAGGAAUGCUCUUAAAAGCUUUCGGUAUGGAGAUAAAGGACCAAACUCCUUGUCAUCGCUGGUUUCAAAGCACAAGAUAAAGACAAAGCACGAGAUUAGGGGUGCUCCGAUUUAUCGGCAGUCCCUCUAAAGGCCGAUGUCAUAAACCGAUCUCAAGCUGAUGAUGCGCCUGUCGUGAGAGGUUUGGCAUGACAUACAGCGGCACGGUCUCAAUCUCUGUCCGGUGCGGGUAAAAUAAUUAUAAUGCUGAAGAUAUUGCUUCCUGUGAUUGACGAUCAAUGAUCAGCUCC